rnacentral:lncRNA from 1 species
UGAAUGCUCUGUCAACUGAGAACCCAGAGACGUUUUCUGGAAAACUCUCUCUCUACUUCUGUGUACAGACUAUGUAGAACCAUCAUAAGCUUCCUUGAGAGCUAUGCAGUACUGUGAAUAAUGCAAAAGAAGAGGGAAGCCUACAAAGGUAGUGCCUUUGCAGAGCUGAAAGGCUUGUGGACUCACCUGACGUCCACAUCAUGCAAUGAGAUUAAAGGAGAUGGGGUACAAAGAUAAAAUACAAGAAUGACUUAUACACUCUGUGAAAGCAUUUUGUUUUACAUCAUUGUAAAGAGUCUUUUGAUUAUGGAGUAAGGAUCUAAUUUCAUAAGCCUUUUAUGUAAG